GGGCAUAUAGUUCAGAGGGAGAACGCUUCCUUGACACGGAAGAGGUCCGUGGUUCGAUUCCACGUAUGCCCA
rnacentral:tRNA from 1 species